AGUGAACGCUGGCGGUAGGCCUAACACAUGCAAGUCGAACGGCAGCACAGUAAGAGCUUGCUCUUACGGGUGGCGAGUGGCGGACGGGUGAGGAAUACAUCGCAAUCUACUUUUUCGUGGAGGAUAUCGUAGGGCAACUUACGCUACUACCGCAUACGACCUACCGGUGAAAGCAGGGGAUCUUCGGACCUUGCGCGAUUCAAUGAGCCGGUGCCGGAUUAGCUAGUUGGCGGGGUAAGGGCCCACCAAGGCGACGAUCCGUAGCUGGUCUGAGAGGAUGAUCAGCCACACUGGAACUGAGACACGGUCCAGACUCCUACGGGAGGCAGCAGUGGGGAAUAUUGCACAAUGGGCGAAAGCCUGACCGAGCCAUACCGCGUGAGUGAAGAAGGUCUUCGGAUUGUAAAGCCCUGUUAUUAGGGAAGAAAAGCAGCGGGUGAAUACCCCGCUAUUCUGACGGUACCCAAAGAGUAAGCACCGGCUAACUUCGUG
rnacentral:rRNA from 1 species